UCCAGACUCCUACGGGAGGCAGCAGUGGGGAAUAUUGCACAAUGGGGGAAACCCUGAUGCAGCGACGCCGCGUGAGCGAUGAAGUAUUUCGGUAUGUAAAGCUCUAUCAGCAGGGAAGAAAAUGACGGUACCUGACUAAGAAGCCCCGGCUAACUACGUGCCAGCAGCCGCGGUAAUACGUAGGGGGCAAGCGUUAUCCGGAUUUACUGGGUGUAAAGGGAGCGUAGACGGCUGCGCAAGCCAGAUGUGAAAGCCCGGGGCUCAACCCCGGGACUGCAUUUGGAACUGUGUGGCUGGAGUGCCGGAGAGGCAGGCGGAAUUCCUAGUGUAGCGGUGAAAUGCGUAGAUAUUAGGAGGAACACCAGUGGCGAAGGCGGCCUGCUGGACGAUGACUGACGUUGAGGCUCGAAAGCGUGGGGAGCAAACAGGAUUAGAUACCCGAGUAA
rnacentral:rRNA from 1 species